rnacentral:tRNA from 1 species
CCUCGCGUAGCUCAGUGGUAGAGCGAAGUCUUGAUAAGGCUGCGACGGGUGUUCGAUUCACCACGCGAGGACCA